rnacentral:rRNA from 1 species
UUCCUUGUCCGAAAGGKCUGGGUAAUCUUGUAAAUGUGUGUCGUGAUAGGGAUAGAUUAUUGCAAUUAUUAAUCUUGAACGAGGAAUUCCUAGUAAAUGCGGGUCAUCAGCUCGCGUUGAUUACGUCCCUGCCCUUUGUACACACCGCCCGUCGCACCUACCGAUUGAAUGAUUCGGUGAAACUUUCGGACCGCGGKGGAGAUACCUCUGGKAACUCCGUCAUGGGAAGUUAUUUAAACCUCAUCAUUUAGAGGAAGGUGAAGUCGUAACAAGGUUUCCGUAGGUGAACCUGCGGAAGGAUCA